rnacentral:rRNA from 1 species
GURCCAGCAGCCGCGGUAAUACGYMGGYGGCAAGCGUUGUCCGGAUUUAUUGGGCGUAAAGAGCUCGUAGGCGGUUUGUCGCGUCUGCCGUGAAAGUCCSSGGCUCAACUCCGGAUCUGCGGUGGGUACGGGCAGACUAGAGUGAUGUAGGGGAGACUGGAAUUCCUGGUGUAGCGGUGAAAUGCGCAGAUAUCGGGAGGAACACCGAUGGCGAAGGCAGGUCUCUGGGCAUUAACUGACGCUGAGGAGCGAAAGCAUGGGGAGCGAACAGGAUUAGAUACCCUGGUAGUCCAUGCCGUAAACGUUGGGCACUAGGUGUGGGGGACAUUCCACGUUUUCCGCGCCGUAGCUAACGCAUUAAGUGCCCCGCCUGGGGAGUACGGCCGCAAGSUAAAAACUCAAAUGAAUUGACGGG